rnacentral:rRNA from 1 species
GACGAACGCUGGCGGCGUGCUUAACACAUGCAAGUCGAACGGAAAGGCCCUGCUUUUGUGGGGUGCUCGAGUGGCGAACGGGUGAGUAACACGUGAGUAACCUGCCCCUGACUUUGGGAUAACUUCAGGAAACUGGGGCUAAUACCGGAUAGGAGCUCCUGCUGCAUGGUGGGGGUUGGAAAGUUUCGGCGGUUGGGGAUGGACUCGCGGCUUAUCAGCUUGUUGGUGGGGUAGUGGCUUACCAAGGCUUUGACGGGUAGCCGGCCUGAGAGGGUGACCGGCCACAUUGGGACUGAGAUACGGCCCAGACUCCUACGGGAGGCAGCAGUGGGGAAUAUGGCACAAUGGGCGGAAGCCUGAUGCAGCAACGCCGCGUGCGGGAUGACGGCCUUCGGGUGGUAAACCGCUUUCGCCUGUGACGAAGCGUGAGUGACGGUAAUGGGUAAAGAAGCACCGGCUAACUACGUG